ACCCUACGGGCUACCAUCUAGACAUGAUAGUCGAUCGAACUCUCGGUAUUGAUGUGGUCGCUUGCAGUCAUGAUUUACAUUUGAGUGAGUGGCGAACUGGUGAGUAACACGUGGGAAACCUGCCCAGAAGCGGGGGAUAACACCUGGAAACAGAUGCUAAUACCGCAUAACAACUUGGACCGCAUGGUCCGAGUUUGAAAGAUGGCUUCGGCUAUCACUUUUGGAUGGUCCCGCGGCGUAUUAGCUAGAUGGUGGGGUAACGGCUCACCAUGGCAAUGAUACGUAGCCGACCUGAGAGGGUAAUCGGCCACAUUGGGACUGAGACACGGCCCAAACUCCUACGGGAGGCAGCAGUAGGGAAUCUUCCACAAUGGACGAAAGUCUGAUGGAGCAACGCCGCGUGAGUGAAGAAGGGUUUCGGCUCGUAAAACUCUGUUGUUAAAGAAGAACAUAUCUGAGAGUAACUGUUCAGGUAUUGACGGUAUUUAACCAGAAAGCCACGGCUAACUACGUGCCAGCAGCCGCGGUAAUACGUAGGUGGCAAGCGUUGUCCGGAUUUAUUGGGCGUAAAGCGAGCGCAGGCGGUUUUUUAAGUCUGAUGUGAAAGCCUUCGGCUCAACCGAAGAAGUGCAUCGGAAACUGGGAAACUUGAGUGCAGAAGAGGACAGUGGAACUCCAUGUGUAGCGGUGAAAUGCGUAGAUAUAUGGAAGAACACCAGUGGCGAAGGCGGCUGUCUGGUCUGUAACUGACGCUGAGGCUCGAAAGUAUGGGUAGCAAACAGGAUUAGAUACCCUGGUAGUCCAUACCGUAAACGAUGAAUGCUAAGUGUUGGAGGGUUUCCGCCCUUCAGUGCUGCAGCUAACGCAUUAAGCAUUCCGCCUGGGGAGUACGGCCGCAAGGCUGAAACUCAAAGGAAUUGACGGGGGCCCGCACAAGCGGUGGAGCAUGUGGUUUAAUUCGAAGCUACGCGAAGAACCUUACCAGGUCUUGACAUACUAUGCAAAUCUAAGAGAUUAGACGUUCCCUUCGGGGACAUGGAUACAGGUGGUGCAUGGUUGUCGUCAGCUCGUGUCGUGAGAUGUUGGGUUAAGUCCCGCAACGAGCGCAACCCUUAUUAUCAGUUGCCAGCAUUAAGUUGGGCACUCUGGUGAGACUGCCGGUGACAAACCGGAGGAAGGUGGGGAUGACGUCAAAUCAUCAUGCCCCUUAUGACCUGGGCUACACACGUGCUACAAUGGAUGGUACAACGAGUUGCGAACUCGCGAGAGUAAGCUAAUCUCUUAAAGCCAUUCUCAGUUCGGAUUGUAGGCUGCAACUCGCCUACAUGAAGUCGGAAUCGCUAGUAAUCGCGGAUCAGCAUGCCGCGGUGAAUACGUUCCCGGGCCUUGUACACACCGCCCGUCACACCAUGAGAGUUUGUAACACCCAAAGUCGGUGGGGUAACCUAUAGGUACCAACCUACCUCAUAGAGAUCAUGCG
rnacentral:rRNA from 1 species